rnacentral:rRNA from 1 species
GACGAACGCUGGCGGCGUGCCUAAUACAUGCAAGUUGAGCGAUGAAGGUUGGUGCUUGCACCAAUUUGAAGAGCAGCGAACGGGUGAGUAACGCGUGGGGAAUCUGCCUUUGAGCGGGGGACAACAUUUGGAAACGAAUGCUAAUACCGCAUAACAACUUUAAACAUAAGUUUUAAGUUUGAAAGAUGCAAUUGCAUCACUCAAAGAUGAACCCGCGUUGUAUUAGCUAGUUGGUGAGGUAAAGGCUCACCAAGGCGAUGAUACAUAGCCGACCUGAGAGGGUGAUCGGCCACAUUGGGACUGAGACACGGCCCAAACUCCUACGGGAGGCAGCAGUAGGGAAUCUUCGGCAAUGGACGAAAGUCUGACCGAGCAACGCCGCGUGAGUGAAGAAGGUUUUCGGAUCGUAAAACUCUGUUGGUAGAGAAGAACGUUGGUGAGAGUGGAAAGCUCAUCAAGUGACGGUAACUACCCAGAAAGGGACGGCUAACUACGUG